GUCAGCAUCCAAAGUCAGGUCCAGUCUUAGGGUCAGGAGAACAGCAAUCCAUGUAGUCAGAUGGUCCAGCGGUCAGGGACUCCAAUGAGUAUGGGGUCAAGGCAAGCAGGAAGCAGCAAGGAUGCAGACAAGCUUCAGAGGAAGUAUGUUCAAGGAGAAAAUGAGAGAGUUUAACAGCUCUCCUCCAGCACAAUGGGCUCAAUCCAGCCCCACGGUUGCAUUUCACUUGCAAUAUCCCAUUCAUGCGGCUCCCAUAUCAUGAAGAAUUGUGCUCUGAAAAAAACUUGCAGAUAGAAAACUGCUGAAGAUAAUUUUUGGUUGCUACAAGUUUGGAAGAUUAUGAAACUUAUUCAGUGUGAAGAAAGAAUGACAGCUAUUGAAUAAAUUUAUAGACAGAUGGGAGGAAAGCAAUAUUUUCACUGGUAAUUCUGACAAUCAGGCCUCACAGGAAAGAUUGUGAUUAUAGCUAUUGUACUAAAAUGGUGAAUACUGUUUUAUCAGAA